rnacentral:rRNA from 1 species
CGGGGUGAGUAACGCGUGAGUAACCUGCCUUUCAGAGGGGGAGUAACGUUCUGAAAAGAACGCUAAUACCGCAUGAGACUACAGAGCUGCAUGGCUCAGUGGUCAAAGGAGCAAUCCGCUGAAAGAUGGACUCGCGUCCGAUUAGAUAGUAGGCGGGGUAACGGCCCACCUAGUCGACGAUCGGUAGCCGGACUGAGAGGUUGAACGGCCACAUUGGGACUGAGACACGGCCCAGACUCCUACGGGAGGCAGCAUG